UACGUAGGCAGCAAGCGUUGUUCGGAGUUACUGGGCGUAAAGGGUGCGUAGGCGGCUAUUUAAGUUUGGUGUGAAAUCCCCAGGCUUAACCUGGGAACUGCGUCGGAUACUGGUUGGCUUGAAUUCGGGAGAGGGAUGCAGAAUUCCAGGUGUAGCGGUGAAAUGCGUAGAUAUCUGGAGGAAUACCGGUGGCGAAGGCGGCAUCCUGGACCGACAUUGACGCUGAACAGCGAAAGCUAGGGGAGCAAACGGG
rnacentral:rRNA from 1 species